rnacentral:rRNA from 1 species
GUAGUGAAACCGCUUAGCGCCGAUGGUAGUGUGGGGUCUCCCCAUGCGAGAGUAGGUCAUCGUCAGGC